GCGGAAGUGGUGAAAUUGGUAUACACGCUACUUUGAGGGGGUAGUGCCCGUAAGGGCGUGCGGGUUCGAGUCCCGCCUUCCGCA
rnacentral:tRNA from 1 species